rnacentral:sRNA from 1 species
AUGGCUGUCGUCAGCUCGUGUCGUGAGAUGUUGGGUUAAGUCCCGCAACGAGCGCAACCCUCGUUCUAUGUUGCCAGCACGUGAUGGUGGGGACUCAUAGGAGACUGCCGGGGUCAACUCGGAGGAAGGUGGGGAUGACGUCAAAUCAUCAUGCCCCUUAUGUCUUGGGCUUCACGCAUGCUACAAUGGCCAGUACAAAGGGCUGCGAUACCGUAAGGUGGAGCGAAUCCCAAAAAACUGGUCUCAGUUCGGAUUGGGGUCUGCAACUCGACCCCAUGAAGUCGGAGUCGCUAGUAAUCGCGGAUCAGCUACGCCGCGGUGAAUACGUUCCCGGGCCUUGUACACACCGCCCGUCACGCCAUGGAAGCUGGGGGGACCUGAAGUCGGUGGGCUAACCGCAAGGGGGCAGCCGCCAAAGGUCAAUUCAGUGACUGGGGCGAAGUCGUAACAAGGUAGCCGUAGGGGAACCUGCGGCUGGAUCACCUCCUUUCUGGAAUACCGAGUAAGGCGAAUCUUCGGAUUCGUGACGAAAGGUUUCUGGUGUCGCCCGCGCUGUGGACGGCUUUCUCCCAAUUCUUCACUUUCAGCUCUUUGACAACUGAAGGUGGGAUGUUGUGCGGAUUUAAGCCCCUUCGUGGGUUUAGGUCCGGGGAAGGAAUCAACACCGAGAACAACAGUAGGGGCACAUCACAAUGUGCCCGACACAAGUAGUGAGAUCAAACGCAAUAAGGCACACGGUGGAUGCCUUGGCAUCGAGAGGCGAUGAAGGGCGCGGUAAGCUGCGAUAAGCCUGGGGGAGCUGCACACGAGCUGUGAUCUCAGGAUGCCCGAAUGGGGAAACCCGG